GACGAACCGUGCAAGCGUUAUCCGGAUUUACUGGGUUUAAAGGGUGCGUAGGCGGAUUUGUAAGUCAGUGGUGAAAGCCUGGAGCUUAACUCCGGAAUUGCCAUUGAUACUGCUUUUCUUGAGUACAGUUGAGGUGGGCGGAAUGUGUCAUGUAGCGGUGAAAUGCUUAGAUAUGACACAGAACACCGAUUGCGAAGGCAGCUCGCUAAACUGUAACUGACGCUGAGGCACGAAAGCGUGGGGAUCGAACAGG
rnacentral:rRNA from 1 species